rnacentral:rRNA from 1 species
UACGUAGGAGGCGAGCGUUAUCCGGAUUCACUGGGCGUAAAGCGCAAGUAGGCGGUUGUGAAAGUCCGUUGUUAAAGCCCCUGGCUCAACUGGGGGAGGUCAAUGGAGACUUUAUGACUUGAGGGCAACAGAGGCAUGUGGAACUCCCGGUGUAGCGGUGGAAUGCGUAGAGAGUCGGAAGAACACCCGUGGCGAAGGCGGCUCUCUGGGCCUUACCUGACGCUGAGGAGCGGAAAGCGUGGGGAGCGAACAGG